CUUUCUUUAAAAAAAAAUGUUUGGAAAUUGCUCCUCUAAAAAAUUAAGAUUCUUCUCUCAGGGAAACAGAAGUGCUUGGAAACUUAAAUAAAAGAUGAACAGAAGGAAAAAUGACUGUCUGAAGAUGUGCAGAAAAUGCAUGUAAAGACGUCUGUGUCAGCCAGCAGCCAGUCUAGCCAGUUCAUCUUUUAUGACUUUGGUGUGAAGUCUCCAACACAAAUGUCAACGGGCAGUAAAGACCAAAAGAUUCUUCCCCAGAAUCACAAGUUCAAAUUUAAACUUUCUAUUGAGGGUUGCAUUUACUCCUCUGAUCAACCCAUGCUCAACACUAUGACCAUACCAGCGAUCUGUUUUAUGGCUUUUGGAACAGAGAUGACUGCACGGCCAUGGCUUGUGAAGGGAAAGAUCCAGCUCCUCAAGUUCAGAGGUACAGG
rnacentral:lncRNA from 1 species